CAAAUUGAAGGGUUUGAUUCUGGCUCAGAAUGAACGUUGGCGGCGUGGAUUAGGCAUGCAAGUCGAGCGAGAACCGUAGCAAUACGGGGACAGCGGCGAAAGGGACAGUAAUGUGUAGGUACCUACCUCAGGGUCUGGGAUAGCUGCGGGAAACUGCAGGUAAUACCGGAUAAUGUCUUCGGACCAAAGGUGUGAUUCCACCC
rnacentral:rRNA from 1 species